GGAGAUGAGGUUACAAUGCGAAGUUAAACAAAAGCAAAGGAAACAGAUCCCCUCCUGUGUGCAGGGAGAUGGGAGCCAAGCAAGUAGCUGCUUGGUUGACAUCACGGAGGCCGAGCAUUGGAUUACAACAGGGACUUACUUGGCAAGGGAAGGGAGUGAGGAAACGCCUCCUGAGCCCUAGAAGUGCGACUGCAUUUAGCAGCUAUUAACGCAAGGAAACUGGAAGUCUGAAACUGUGACUAAGCUGUCUGCUCUGGCCCUUUGACAUUCCAAGCACACUCACGCUUGGGGGAAUGUGGGGGUGACCGAGCCACACUUGAGCCUUGAGUUUUAACAGUUGGGGUUCCUAACUCGCCACACUGAGAGCUGUUGGAGCUUGGAGCCAUCUUCUAACUACUUGGUGCCUUCUGGUGCAUGGAGCUAGAUGUCUGUCCUCAGCAGAAGGAAAAUGAAUUAAGUAAGGCCAGAACAGAACUGAACUGAAGGGUUCAGCCAGCCUGCUUAUAUAGAGCUCCACUACAACGCAACUGUAACAACUUUCUGUAACUAUCCAAUCACUAAAUGUCACUUUCAAUCCCUUAUUUGCAUAUGUGGACCUGAGUGAAAACUAUUUACAGUAUCCCCCUGCUGGCCCAGGGUGAGAACUUCAGUACAUAACACUCUGCUUUCCUUUGGACCACAUCACUGAGACUGAGCUCCCUGCACAUUGCCCAGGCUUGCACCCCGGGGAGGUCGCUUGGGUGCUGCUAACAUCGUGGUUUGACUUCACCCCUGGAGACGCACUCCAUUGUCUCUCGAGACAGACGGAUGCCAACAGGAACAAGGGAUAUGAAUGUAUUAGCAUAUUAAGGUUAAAUUCACCCAUAAUUUGUACUGCAUUUAUCAGAUUGUAGUGACUGAAACCUUAUUUUUCCUACCCCACUGCAAUAAAAUGUCCCUUUUGACAUUU